rnacentral:rRNA from 1 species
AGAGUUUGAUCCUGGCUCAGGACGAACGCUGGCGGCGUGCCUAAUACAUGCAAGUCGAGCGGACCGGAUCGGAGCUUGCUCUGAUUUGGUCAGCGGCGGACGGGUGAGUAACACGUGGGCAACCUGCCCGCAAGACCGGGAUAACUCCGGGAAACCGGAGCUAAUACCGGAUAACACCGAAGACCGCAUGGUCUUCGGUUGAAAGGCGGCCUUUGGGCUGUCACUUGCGGAUGGGCCCGCGGCGCAUUAGCUAGUUGGUGAGGUAACGGCUCACCAAGGCGACGAUGCGUAGCCGGCCUGAGAGGGUGACCGGCCACACUGGGACUGAGACACGGCCCAGACUCCUACGGGAGGCAGCAGUAGGGAAUCUUCCGCAAUGGGCGAAAGCCUGACGGAGCGACGCCGCGUGAGCGAAGAAGGCCUUCGGGUCGUAAAGCUCUGUUGUGAGGGACGAAGGAGCGCCGUUCGAAGAGGGCGGCGCGGUGACGGUACCUCACGAGAAAGCCCCGGCUAACUACGUGCCAGCAGCCGCGGUAAUACGUAGGGGGCGAGCGUUGUCCGGAAUUAUUGGGCGUAAAGCGCGCGCAGGCGGUCUCUUAAGUCUGAUGUGAAAGCCCACGGCUCAACCGUGGAGRGUCAUUGGAAACUGGGGGACUUGAGGGCAGGAGAGGAGAGCGGAAUUCCACGUGUAGCGGUGAAAUGCGUAGAGAUGUGGAGGAACACCAGUGGCGAAGGCGGCUCUCUGGCCUGCACCUGACGCUGAGGCGCGAAAGCGUGGGGAGCAAACAGGAUUAGAUACCCUGGUAGUCCACGCCGUAAACGAUGAGUGCUAAGUGUUAGAGGGGUCACACCCUUUAGUGCUGCAGCUAACGCGAUAAGCACUCCGCCUGGGGAGUACGGCCGCAAGGCUGAAACUCAAAGGCUGCCUCUUAUAAACAUCUGAC